AUGUAAGAGAGUGGAGAUGAAGAGAAAUGGGAAGAGGUUACAGAGAUUUCUGGCAAUAGAUUAAGGUAAUCGGAAAGAUCGUCAAAUCGAUAGAUUAAUUGAUUUGCAUUCGUAAUAGAUUAAUCACUGUUCGAACAAUGAGAAACGUUUGAAAACUUGUGCCUCCCAAAGUUUUUGAGUGUUCCAAUUUUAA
ensembl:ncRNA C15C8.11 ncRNA